rnacentral:misc_RNA from 1 species
GAAAAAUCUAAACCAACCCAGGAAAAGAAAAGGAAAGAGAAGGGCAACAAACACACUUUACAGCAAUAGAAUCAUAAUCCUAUUACAGACCAGUUGGUUCUCAGGACCACAGAAUUCUACUUAAUAACGCUGAAAACUACAGCCAGCGGCCUAAUAAAGUCCUACUAGAACUUAGUCAAUUUGUCCUGACAAAAAGACUACUAGAUAUGUCACCAUCCUCAAUUUUUUUUUCUAAUAUAACUAAGAAAAGAUUGUUUCUAUAAUAUCCAAAACAAG